rnacentral:lncRNA from 1 species
UCACUUUUCUUAAUAUAUAUUUUUUUGGUUGGUGAAGUUCAGUCUACAGCUUUUAUUCUUAGUCACCUAUCUGUAGCCAACUCCUUGGUCAUUUUCUCUGGAAAACUUUUGGAGAUCAGGGCAACUUUUGGAUUAAAACGUUUUCUAUUUUUUUGCAUGCAAAUUUGUGUUCUGCCUUCACAGAAUGGUGUCAUGGGACCAUAAGCAACACCUGCCCUUUUAGUGUCUUUCAUACCAUUACCAUCUGUACCAGAAACUCCAGGUACCCCAAGCUUAAAGUAAAAACCCUAAAGUACAUUGGCUUUUCCCACAGACUGUACUGGGUCCAGAACAUGCUGUUAAAU